CCUACGGGUGGCAGCAGUGGGGAAUAUUGCGCAAUGGGCGAAAGCCUGACGCAGCGACGCCGCGUGAGGGAUGAAGGUCUUCGGAUCGUAAACCUCUUUAGGCGGGGAGCAAUGCCGGGCACGCGUGCCCGGAGGGAGAGUACCCGCAGCAUAAGCAUCGGCUAACUCCGUGCCAGCAGCCGCGGUAAUACGGAGGAUGCGAGCGUUAUCCGGAUUUAUUGGGUUUAAAGGGUGCGUAGGCGGAUUUUUAAGUCAGCGGUAAAAUGUCCGGGCUCAACCCGGGCCGGCCGUUGAAACUGGGGAUCUUGAGUGGGCGAGAAGUAUGCGGAAUGUGUGGUGUAGCGGUGAAAUGCAUAGAUAUCACGCAGAACUCCGAUUGCGAAGGCAGCAUACCGGCGCCCGACUGACGCUGAGGCACGAAAGCGUGGGGAUCGAACAGGAUUAGAUACCCUUGUAGUC
rnacentral:rRNA from 1 species